AUUCAUUUGAUGAGUCUCAAAUAGAAUGAAAUGCGCUUCCUGAAU
rnacentral:hammerhead_ribozyme from 1 species